rnacentral:rRNA from 1 species
GACGAACGCUGGCGGCGUGCUUAACACAUGCAAGUCGAACGGAAGGGCCCUGCGUUUGUGGGGGUCUCGAGAGUCGCACGGGGGAGUAACACGUGAGUAACCUGCCCUUGACUUUGGGGUAACUUCAGGGAACUGGGGCGAAUACAGGAUAGGAGCCCCUGCUGCGCGGUGGGGGUUGGAAAGUUUCGGCGGGUGGGGAUGGACUCGCGGCUUAUCAGCGUGUUGGUGGGGGAGUGGCUGACCAAGGCUUUGACGGGUAGCCGGCCUGAGAGGGUGACCGGCCACAUUGGGACUGAGAUACGGCCCAGACUCCUACGGGAGGCAGCAGUGGGGAAUAUUGCACAAUGGGCGGAAGCCUGAUGCAGCAACGCCGCGUGCGUGAUGCCGGCCUGCGGGUUGUAAACCGCUUUCGCCUGUGACGAAGCGUGAGUGACGGUAAUGGGUAAAGAAGCACCGGCUAACUACGUG